rnacentral:rRNA from 1 species
CCUACGGGAGGCAGCAGUGGGGGAUAUUGCACAAUGGGGGAAACCCUGAUGCAGCGACGCCGCGUGGGUGAAGAAGCGCCUCGGCGCGUAAAGCCCUGUCAGCAGGGAAGAAAAUGACGGUACCUGAAGAAGAAGCCCCGGCUAACUACGUGCCAGCAGCCGCGGUAAUACGCAGGGGGCACGCGUUAUCCGGAUGUACUGGGUGUAAAGGGGGCGCAGACGGCGAUGCAAGCCAGGAGUGAAAGCCCGGGGCCCAACCCCGGGACUGCUCUUGGAACUGUGUGGCUAGAGUGCAGGAGGGGCGGGCGGAAUUCCUGGUGUAGCGGUGAAAUGCGUAGAGAUCAGGAGGAACACCGGUGGCGAAGGCGGCCUGCUGGACUGCAACUGACGUUGAGGCCCGAAAGCGUGGGGAGCAAACAGGAUUAGAUACCCGUGUAGUC